UUCCAGACUCCUACGGGAGGCAGCAGUGAGGAAUAUUGGUCAAUGGUUGGGAGACUGAACCAGCCAAGCCGCGUGAGGGAUGAAGGUACAGAGUAUCGUAAACCUCUUUUGUCAGGGAACAAAGGCGGGGACGUGUCCCCGGAUGAGUGUACCUGAAGAAAAAGCAUCGGCUAACUCCGUGCCAGCAGCCGCGGUAAUACGGAGGAUGCGAGCGUUAUCCGGAUUUAUUGGGCUUAAAGGGUGCGUAGGCGGAAUAUCAAGUCAGCGGUAAAAAUUCGGGGCUCAACCCCGUCGUGCCGUUGAAACUGAUGUUCUUGAGUGGGCGAGAAGUAUGCGGAAUGCGUGGUGUAGCGGUGAAAUGCAUAGAUAUCGCGCAGAACUCCGAUUGCGAAGGCAGCAUGCCGGCUCCACACUGACGCUGAGGCACGAAAGCGUGGGUAUCGAACAGGAUUAGAUACCCCAGUA
rnacentral:rRNA from 1 species